GUAUCUACUUUCCAUUUCAGUUUAAACCCCAGAUUACUGAAGACUCAUGCACUGCAUGGCUGAGCUGUAAGUCACUAUAGCGCAAUGAAACACCACAAACUUGAACGCAAUGUGAACAUGAGUUCAUAUAGAAACAAGCCUGACUGGGCUUGAUGCCCUAUCUAGGAGGUUUGAAGGCAUUUUUUGCAAUUUCACAUGCUUCUUACACAGGCUUUGUCUUCUCUGAAUAAGGUGUUCCAGUUACGACUAAGGAAGUAUUUCUUCUGCACCAGCCGAGUGGUAAAGCUAUAUGGUAGGUUAAAACCAUCACUUUCAAAAGAAACAGUGCCAAUAACUACAUGCAUCGAUGCUUCUGUUGAUGCUCCUAUCUAUCCUACAUUAAAGGAUUUUUUUUUUUUUCUUUCUUGUAAACCUGAACUAGCAUUCAUUACCUCACGCCCCAAACCUUUCCAAUUCAGAACAGCGAACUCAAAAUCACAUCUGGUAGCCUCAGAAAACUACGUGCAUACCUACAUGUCAUGACUGAAACGCAAAAUUUCAGAGUAGUACCUUUUAGUUGUAGACAUGCUCAAAGCAUACAUUUUGUUAUAUUGCAUGCCCCCAGUUAAAUUAAUAACACAAUGUGUAUGCUUAAGGAGCUGGAGGUUCAUGUCCUAAAGGACCAUGUUAAUAAUAUUGCAUGUCUUCUCAUGCUGUAGACAGCCCACAACGAUCCAGAAGGCUGCUCUCUUGGCUUUAGCAAUACAUAUGAAAACAGCAGUCAGCUAUAGGUUUUCAUGGUGAUUUAAUAUAAAGAUACUCAGUAACAACAACCACCACCAAAAAAAAAAAAAGAAAAAACACCACAACACCCCAGCAUGAUACCUUUUGGGAUUUCUUCAUUUCAGCUUAGGAAGAGCAUAACAAAGAACAGUAGUAUUAAGUAUUACUCAUUAAUACCCUUAGCUGUACAGGCAAAUCCUCCUUCAGCUGAGCACAGCAUAGAUAUAUGUUUAAGACUGUAGGCCUUUAAGGGUAUCUAAUAGUCUAUAUAUGCAGGCCAUAUCAAACACGUGGGAGAUAUGUUAUUGAUAAAAACAGAAGUCAAAGGAUAAAAGGAUGCAUAGAACAUAUGCCAUGGACAGGAAGGAGGUUAGAAUUAUUACACUAUAUAAAACAGUACAUGUACAUGAUAAUUUACCUCCAGGUGGACCUUGCUUGCAAAGGACAGUAAGGGAAAAGGAAAGUUCAUGGAAAG
rnacentral:lncRNA from 1 species